rnacentral:pre_miRNA from 1 species
AGUGGAAUAGCUGGGUCAAAUGGUGGUUCCAUUCCAAGUUUUCUAAGAAAUCUCCAUAAUGUUUUCCAGAGUGGUUGCCCAAAUUUGCAUUCCCACCAGCAAU